GCCGAAGUGAUGAAAUUGGUAGACAUGCACGUUUCAGGGACGUGUGCCUUCGGGCGUGGGGGUUCGAGUCCCCCCUUCGGCACCA
rnacentral:tRNA from 1 species